CUUUGACCUCCAAUCAAGCGGGACUACGCCCUGAACUUAAGCAUAUCAAU
rnacentral:rRNA from 1 species